ACGAACGCUGGCGGCGUGCCUUACACAUGCAAGUCGAACGGAAAGGCCCUGCUUUUGUGGGGUGCUCGGGUGGCGAACGGGUGAGUAACACGUGAGUAACCUGCCCUUGACUUUGGGAUAACUUCAGGAAACUGGGGCUAAUACCGGAUAGGAGCUCCUGCUGCAUGGUGGGGGUUGGAAAGUUUCGGCGUUUGGGGAUGGACUCGCGGCUUAUCAGCUUGUUGGUGGGGUAGUGGCUUACCAAGGCUUUGACGGGUAGCCGGCCUGAGAGGGUGACCGGCGACAUUGGGACUGCGAUACGGCCCAGACUGCUACGGGAGGCAGCAGUGGGGAAUAUUGCACAAUGGGCGGGAGCCUGAUGCAGCAACGCCGCGUGCGGGAUGACGGCCUUCGGGUUGUAAACCGCUUUCGCCUGUGACGAAGCGUGAGUGACGGUAAUGGGUAAAGAAGCACCGGCUAACUACGUG
rnacentral:rRNA from 1 species